rnacentral:SRP_RNA from 1 species
GCCUUAGUCCCAGGUACUCAGGAGGCUGAGGCUGAAGGAUUGCUUGAGCCCAGGAGUUCUGGGUUACAGUGUGCUGUGCUGAUGGGAUGUUUGCACUAAGUGCAGCAUCAAUGUGGUGACCUCCUGGGAACAGGAGACUCCCAGGUUGCCUAAGGAGGGGUGACCUGGCCCAGGUCAGAAACAGAGCAGGUCAAAACUCCCUUGCUGAUCAGUAGUGGGAUCGCACCUUUGAACAGCCACUGCACUCCAGCCUGAGCAACAUAGUGAGACCCUGCCUAU